rnacentral:rRNA from 1 species
AAGAGUUUUUACUCCUACACCAUGUGAACUUACCACUGUUUCCUCGGUCGGAAGGUACCCGAAAGGGUGCUGGAAGCCGGUGGACAUCUAAACUCUUGUUAAUUUUGUCAAAUCUGAAUCAAACUAAGAAAUAAGUUAAAACUUUCAACAACGGAUCUCUUGGUUCUGGCAUCGAUGAAGAACGCAGCGAAAUGCGAUAAGUAAUGUGAAUUGCAGAAUUCAGUGAAUCAUCGAAUCUUUGAACGCACAUUGCGCCCAUUAGUAUUCUAGUGGGCAUGCCUGUUCGAGCGUCAUUUCAACCCUUAAGCCUAGCUUAGUGUUGGGAGACUGCCUAAUACGCAGCUCCUCAAAACCAGUGGCAGAGUUUUUACGUACUCUGAGCGCAGUAAUUCUAUUCUCGCUUUUUGAAACACGUCUAGACGAUAGCCAAAAACCGCUUGCUUCGGCAGCACUUUUUUAAUGGUUGACCUCGGAUCAGGUAGGAAUACCCGCUGAACUUAAGCAUAUCAAUAA